GGGACUGGCAUUUGACCGCAGCCUCCCAGGGGUCCUGGACCCAGAUCCACAUCCCAGAAACCGCAGCUGGAGGGGUGCAUCGCCUCCGACUCACCUCCCUCUGUCCCCCUCCACUGCCAUCUCUGUCCCCUCACCCUGUGCCCCAAGUGGGGCUCCCCGGGAAAGUCUGCUUCUGGGCCCCGCUCUGUCCCUCCCCCACGCUCGAGGGGCUCCCGCCCCAGCAGCUUCUGAAGGCACACAAGGUAACAAGACAGGCUCUCAUGAGGCUCCUUGGUUCGUGCCCAUCUCUUCCUGGGCCGCCUUGUUCACCGGAUGCCCAGUCAGUGUGCUCAAAAGUAUGUCUGGAAAGAGAGGCUGCCGGGCUGGGUGGGGCGGCAAGGGGUGCAUGGCUCUUCUCCCUCCUUCCCCAUCCCCCCUCCUCUUCUGGCUCCCGGCUUCCUUUGGUCCGCCCUUCCCCUUGCUCCUUUUUGACCUCUCCCCGCCCUCUGGUUCUUUUCUGCAGAGCCUUUCCUUUCUGCAAGUUCCCAGGAGGUGCUCUUGGCUAGCGCCCUCAAUCCUUCUUGCCUGCAGGAGUCUGGCGUGCGGCUCUGCUGGGGGCCCAGAGACUGCCCAGGGAGCUGGAAGCGUGUGGUCUGUGGGCCCGUGCUCCGUCAUCCGUGGAUCUCGGUGAAUGUGAGUCUGCAGAGGGAGGCAGGAGGAAGGCUGAGCUUCACAGAGAGAAAACUGAGACUCCAAGAGGCCAGUGGAAUCAGGAGUAGGUGGGGGUAUGCUGUAGAUACAGUGGGGUCCUGAUCCUGCCCUUGGUCGUGGAGGCCAGUCUAGUCACACACUGGCCUGUGGGGCCACCCUGGGAGCGCUUAGAGGGAGGAGGCUGUGAACACGGAGGCAGCCCAGACUCUGGGGCCAGAUGGACCUGAGUUUGAAUUCAUCAACGCUGCCUACCACCUAAGGUGAGUGGUCUGCUUUCUCUGAGGCUCCAUCUGCAGACAGGACAAAGCCCAGGGGGACCCAGCUGCCAACUCCCCAAGAACCUUCAGCCACAGACAAUGAGCAGCUGGGGACAGGAGCUGGGCUACAGGCACAGAGCAGGGGGAAUUGGGAACGGAGAGCUGAAGCCGGAGAGCUCUGGCCUGGGCAGCUGCGAGGGAGCAGGCCAGCGGGAGAUGGCCUGGAGGGUCACGGGGGAGCAGGUCAGAG
ensembl:lncRNA